rnacentral:rRNA from 1 species
AAUGGGCGAAAGCCUGAUGCAGCGACGCCGCGUGAGUGAAGAAGGCCUUCGGGUUGUAAAGCUCUUUGAGCGGGGAAAACAAAAAUGAUUGUACCCGCAGAACAAGCACCGGCUAACUCCGUGCCAGCAGCCGCGGUAAUACGGAGGGUGCAAGCGUUACUCGGAAUUACUGGGCGUAAAGCGCGUGUAGGUGGUUUUGUAAGUCUGGUGUGAAAUCCCGGGGCUCAACCCCGGAAGUGCAUUGGAUACUGCAAGACUAGAGUGCAGGAGAGGAUGGCGGAAUUCCAGGUGUAGAGGUGAAAUUCGUAGAUAUCUGGAGGAACAUCGGAGGCGAAGGCGGCCAUCUGGACUGCAACUGACACUGAGACGCGAAAGCGUGGGGAGCAAA